rnacentral:rRNA from 1 species
CACGUAGGCGGAUUGGCAAGUCAGAUGUGAAAGCCCGGGGCUUAACCUCGGAACUGCAUUUGAUACUGUCUGUCUUGAGUAUGGUAGAGGGGGAUGGAAUUCCCGGUGUAGAGGUGAAAUUCGUAGAUAUCGGGAGGAACACCAGAGGCGAAGGCGAUCCCCUGGGCCAUUACUGACGCUGAGGUGCGAAAGCGUGGGGAGCGAACAGGAUUAGAUACCCUGGUAGUCC